UACGUAGGUGGCAAGCGUUAUCCGGAUUUACUGGGUGUAAAGGGCGAGUAGGCGGGCUUGCAAGUCAGAUGUGAAAUACCGAGGCUCAACCUCGGGGCUGCAUUUGAAACUGUAAGUCUUGAGUGAUGGAGAGGCAGGCGGAAUUCCCAGUGUAGCGGUAAAAUGCAUAGAGAUUGGGAAGAACACCAGUGGCGAAGGCGGCCUGCUGGACAUUAACUGACGCUGAGGAGCGAAAGUGUGGGGAGCAAACAGG
rnacentral:rRNA from 1 species